UGUAAGUAUGAGAGCGUCAUUGGACGUACAGUGUGUAAAUCAGUUUUUCUGUAUAGAUAUUUAGUUUGAACGCAGAAAUUAGAUAGGAACUAUAGGAUUGCCAGCUCACAUCAUAACAUCGGAUAAACAAUAUAAGGAUACAAGCGGCGUUUAGCAAUGUUUGUUUAAAAUAUUUUAAAAAACUGUUGUAAUUUUUAUAUAUGUCGUGAUUUCACAGGAAUGGAUAUACUUGUAGAAUGUGAUAUUUAUUAUCUGUUUAAUCUUUUAAUGAUGGAACUGAUGUUUGGACAGUCUGGCUGUAAAAUUGGACUAAAUAAAGACUCAAAUGUUAAGACAACGUUGAUGGUGAAUUGAAGCGAUGAAAAUGUUAAUCACGAUGCUGGUGAAGAUGAUAAUGAUGCCGAUUUGAUGACAAUGACAAAUGUUAGUGAUGCUGCUGAUGAUGAUGAUAAUUGUGAUGAAGCAAUAAUAAUUGUGAUGAAGAAAAUGAAGAAAAUAAAGGUGCUAAAGCUUCAAGUACUGAUAAUAAUGAAUGUGAGUGUCAUGAAGGUGAGUAGCACUCUUAAACAACGUUUAAUAGUACACAUGCCAAAUAGUUUCAACAGUUCAACUUAUUUAUUAACAUAAAAA
rnacentral:lncRNA from 1 species